rnacentral:rRNA from 1 species
CGCCUGUUUAUCAAAAACAUGUCUUUUCGUUAAUUAUUUAAGGUUUGGCCUGCUCCAUGACUAAGUUAAAUAGCCGCAGUAUUUUGACUGUGCAAAGGUAGCAUAAUCAUUAGUUUUUUAAUUGAAAGCUGGAAUGAAGGGUCGGAUGAGAAAGAAUCUGUCUCAUUCUAAUUUAUUUGAAUUUUAUUUUUAAGUUAAAAAGCUUAAAUUUUAUAGAAAGACGAGAAGACCCUAUAGAGUUUAAUAAGUUAAGAUUUGAUUAUCUGAGGAUUUUAAUGUAAUUAUUUUUUGACUUGUUUUGUUGGGGUGACAUUAGAAUUGGAUAAACUUCUUAAUAUUUAAACAUUGAUUUAUGAGCUAAUGAUCCUGAUUUUUGGAUUUAAAGAUUAAAUUACCUUAGGGAUAACAGCGUAAUCUUUUUGGAGAGUUCUAAUCGAUAAAAGGGAUUGCGACCUCGAUGUUGGAUUAAAGUUAAGUUUCGGUGUAGGAGCUGAAAUUUUG